rnacentral:rRNA from 1 species
UUGGAGGGCAAGUCUGGUGCCAGCAGCCGCGGUAWUUCCAGCUCCAAUAGCGUAUAUUWAAAGUUGUUGCAGUUAAAAAGCUCGUAGUUGAAUUUCGGGAUUAAUUUAUCGGUCGUGSUUUKGUACGUACUGGUAUUAUUGAUUCCUACCUUCUGACGAACCAUGAUGUCAUUAAUUUGGUGUCKUGGGGAAUCAGGACUGUUAYUUUGAAAAAAUUAGAGUGUUUAAAGCAGGCUCACGCUUGAAUACAUUAGCAUGGAAUAACGAAAUAGGWCGUUUGAUUYUAUUUUGUUGGUUUMUAGGAUCGACGUAAUGAUUAAUAGGGAUAGUUGGGGGCAUUAGUAUUCAAUUGUCAGAGGUGAAAUUCUUGGAUUUAUUGAAGACUAACUACUGYGAAAGCAUUUGCCAAGGAUGUUUUCAUUAAUCAAGAACGAAAGUUAGGGGAUCGAAGACGAUCAGAUACCGUCGUAGUCUUAACCAUAAACURRGCCGACUAGGGAUCGGAUGAUGUUAAUUUUUUAYUGWCURAWWSGGCGCCUACGGGAAAC